UCUGGCCUUGCCAGCAACUCUAUUCCUUCCCUGGCAUCAGAGCAGCACCUUCAGGAUUUCAGUGUAUACUGAAGACCAGCUGAGGCGUGAGCCUCUCGGGCUGAACACCCGCUGGAGACUUGGACCUUCUGUUCACAGCCAGCCUUUGUUGGAUUAGCUGGACCACAGCCUCAAUGAAUGUGGAACCCGGAACAUCUCAAGGAAACCCUAGCAGGUGUGAGAUUCAUUUCCACGUCCACCUAGCUGCAAAGCAGGAAUGCCCCCUCAACCUCCGGCCAUCCAUCCAGGGGCUUUAGAGAAGGGCCAACCGCCGCAGAGUUCUAAGACAGUUCUGUGAAGAGCCCUGGCCACCUGCCUCAGAGAAAGGCCUCAUACUACAAGCUCUCUCCCGGGCUCCUCAGUCUCAGAACUCCCGAGGGCCUGUCCCCACUGGAGUCUCUGCCAG